UACGAAGGGUGCAAGCGUUAUUCGGAAUUACUGGGCGUAAAGGGCGCGUAGGUGGAUGUUUAAGUCUGCUGUGAAAGCUCCGGGCUCAACCUGGGAAUGGCAGUGGAUACUGGACAGCUAGAGUGCGGUAGAGGGUAGUGGAAUUCCCGGUGUAGCAGUGAAAUGCGUAGAGAUCGGGAGGAACACCAGUGGCGAAGGCGGCUGCCUGGACCAGCACUGACACUGAAGCACGAAAGCGUGGGGAGCAAACAGG
rnacentral:rRNA from 1 species